rnacentral:rRNA from 1 species
CUACCCUAGAGUCCGGAAUAACCUGCCGAAAGGCGGGCUAAUACGGGAUAGAGCGAUGGAACUCAUUAAGAGUUUUUCGGGAAAGGGAGCUCGCAAGAGCCCUCGCUUUAGGAUGAGCCUGCGUCUCAUUAGCUAGUUGGUAGGGUAAUGGCCUACCAAGGCGAUGAUGGGUAGCUGGUCUGAGAGGAUGAUCAGCCACACUGGAACUGAAACACGGUCCAG